UUAAUAAGCGGAGGAAAAGAAACUAACUAGGAUUGGUUUAGUAACGGCGAGUGAAGUGCCAAAAGCCCAUGUUGUGAAUCAAUGCAAAUUGAAUUGUGGUUGUCAUAUUCAUUCGGCUUGUGGACAAAGUCCCCUGGAAUGGGGCAGCCAAGAGGGUGAGACUCCCAUUAGUCCAUAUGGCAUGAGAAUUGACUUUGGAGUCGAGUUGUUUGGGAUUGCAGCUCUAAUUGGGUGGUAAAUUCCAUCCAAGGCAAAAUACUGGUGAGAGACCGAUAGCGUACAAGUACCGUGAGGGAAAGAUGCAAAGCCGCGCGAAAGCGCUGUCAAAGAGUACCUGAACUUGCUGAAAUGGAAGCAAAGGAAAUCAGUGCCAACUAAACCGCACUUCCUCUGUUGCUUGCAAAAGAGGCGCUGCGACUAGUGUUGUCCCAAUGGGGUGGUAGGUAGGAGAAGCUAAAAGGCCU
rnacentral:rRNA from 1 species